rnacentral:rRNA from 1 species
AACGAACGCUGGCGGCAUGCCUAAUACAUGCAAGUCGAACGAGAUCUUCGGAUCUAGUGGCGCACGGGUGCGUAACGCGUGGGAAUCUGCCCUUGGGUUCGGAAUAACUUCUGGAAACGGAAGCUAAUACCGGAUGAUGACGUAAGUCCAAAGAUUUAUCGCCCAAGGAUGAGCCCGCGUAGGAUUAGCUAGUUGGUGGGGUGAAGGCUCACCAAGGCGACGAUCCUUAGCUGGUCUGAGAGGAUGAACAGCCACACUGGGACUGAGACACGGCCCAGACUCCUACGGGAGGCAGCAGUAGGGAAUAUUGGACAAUGGGCGAAAGCCUGAUCCAGCAAUGCCGCGUGAGUGAUGAAGGCCUUAGGGUUGUAAAGCUCUUUUACCCGGGAUGAUAAUGACAGUACCGGGAGAAUAAGCUCUGGCUAACUCCGUGCCAGCCGCCGCCGUAAUAC